rnacentral:rRNA from 1 species
AUGCACGCUGGCGGCGUGCCUCAUCCCUGCCAGUCGCGCGAACAGACGAGGAGCUUGCUCCUCUGACGUUAGCGGCGGACGGGUGAGUAACACGUGGAUAACCUACCUAUAAGACUGGGAUAACUUCGGGAAACCGGAGCUAAUACCGGAUAAUAUAUUGAACCGCCUGGUUCAAUAGUGAAAGACGGUUUUGCUGUCACUUAUAGAUGGAUCCGCGCCGCAUUAGCUAGUUGGUAAGGUAACGGCUUACCAAGGCGACGAUGCGUAGCCGACCUGAGAGGGUGAUCGGCCACACUGGAACUGAGACACGGUCCAGACUCCUACGGGAGGCAGCAGUAGGGAAUCUUCCGCAAUGGGCGAAAGCCUGACGGAGCAACGCCGCGUGAGUGAUGAAGGUCUUCGGAUCGUAAAACUCUGUUAUUAGGGAAGAACAAAUGUGUAAGUAACUAUGCACGUCUCGACGGUACCUAAUCAGAAAGCCACGGCUAACUACGUG